UGAAAGAUUAACGAAUCUCACGCUUUACCUCUCUCCUCCCCUCCCCCCCAAAAUCAGAAAGCCCACUUGGUUGUUUCCAGCACGCAUCUAUCAUUACACACUCCUGGGUCUCAGAGAGCGCCGACAAGAGCAGCCUAUGGAGUGUGGGGAAGGCAUGAGAGGAAACUGAGUCGCAACGGCUUUAAGAGGAUGUAACAAGGAAAGCCAUUUUGCAACCAGCAAGGAGGCUUCUUCCUUCCCAGCAACCGCUGAAAAGGCCCUUUGUUCUCAGUGGAACACCUGGAGAGGUUUAUCUGCCGUGGCCUCUGGGGCCGGCACUGAGGAGCUGUGACAGGACCCAGUGGCACUGGAGUUGGUGGCAAGCCAGGUGCUGCUGGCACCCAAAAACCAUCCCAGCUGGGCUAUGGCAUGGGCAGCUUUUGGUUGUCUCUUCCAUGGGGGCCAGGAUGCUGGCCUGGCUUGUGUUUUCUUUCUUUUCCCAUCCUAAAAUGAACAGCUGCAGUCCGAAUUGUCUUUAGACAGCAUUGAGGGGUGACACCUAUGCAGAGAAUGGAGAACAACCCUUGGGCAUUUCUGGAGAAAGGGGUAAUGUGAGCAGGGAUAGGCAGACAAAGAGCCCUGCGCACAUGGUUUGGUGCUACACCUGGAAGGGCUGGAGGUGACACUGCUCAGUGGCAUCAUCCUAACCAGUGGCAACUGUCUGAGGUUCAUCUCCAUGUGUGUUCCCUGGUCAUAGACCAUCCCCACGUAAACCAUCAUCACCAGGCAAACCAGCUUCAAAAGCCAAAAGGUUUACAUUCUUUCCCUGCACCUUCUGUGACUCAAAGAAGAAUCUCGAUGAGAAGAAAUCUGCACAGAGAAAACGCAGAGACAGACCUGAUGUGGGGUGAUGUGGAGAGUUGCCACCAUCCAACUGUGUGCUGCUUCUAUGACUGUAUAACCAGUGGCCUCAGGGGGAAUGGGACCUGUGAGCUGUGAGUUAUUAAGCUGGUCCAAGUCUGCUGACCUUCCUCUGCAUGCUGAUUUUCCACUAAAGUCACAGACUGGACAGCCCACAUCAGAAAAAGAAAAGAAAAAAGCAAGAAACUAAAAGUAAGAGACAUCAUUCUUUGCUCCUUGAUCACCCAGACAACAUACCAACCCCUACAAGAGAGUCAUGUUGGGGGAUUUCAGCAAUGCCUCAUCACAGGAUGUGCAGCUCUGUGAAAUAUUGAUCUGAUGAAUACUGAGAGCAAACUGCAGAGUUUGAGAAAGGACAGACCACAGCUUGAGCUUCAUCAUCUGCAGUGGCAGUCACUGGUUCUCCCAUGCGCAACGGCACCGUUGCCAUUUCUUUGGGACAGGCUGUACUGAAGCUGAUCCACGUGAGAGCUGUUAGCCUGUUCAUGCAGCUCAUAGCUUUCACACCACUUCCAGCCUUGGUCCCUGUCCAGGCACCACCACCAGCUCUCCCAUGACUUUGGGUUUAGGUCUCUUUCUAACAUUCCUCCCUUUCUUCCCCGCUGAGGGAAAAUGUCCAGGUUUGUUCUUUUUGACUUUGUGGUAGCGGCCUCAACAGAAGGACAUAGUGCCUAUUGAGUGUCCUUGCAAGGAAAAGGGAGAAACUUCUCAGUUACAUAAAAGUUUGUAUCAAAAUUCAAGAAUCCAGAUUAAUUAUAGUAGACUCGCCUUGUAUCAUUCAAUUUGUUUGAAUAGCUUUAAAGAUUAAGCAGAUCCAAGGCCUAACAGAACCAGAGCCAGUAAGACAAUAGCUGAGAUUUCCCUUUGAAACAGAAUAUACAGGUGGUUUCUGUGACUUUGUGUGUCUAUCUGCCCGGCUUUUUUAUUUUUAUGUCGUAUCCAAUAUCACAGAACCUGG
ensembl:lncRNA